GACGAACGCUGGCGGCGUGCUUAACACAUGCAAGUCGAACGAUGAAGCCGGAGCUUGCUCUGGUGAAUUAGUGGCGAACGGGUGAGUAACACGUGAGUAACCUGCCCUUGACUCUGGGAUAACUGCGGGAAACUGUAGCUAAUACCGGAUACGACCCUCGGAGGCAUCUCCUGGGGGUGGAAAGAAUUUCGGUCAGGGAUGGACUCGCGGCCUAUCAGCUAGUUGGUGAGGUAAAGGCUCACCAAGGCGACGACGGGUAGCCGGCCUGGGAGGGUGACCGGCCACCCUGGGACUGAGACACGGCCCAGACUCCUACGGGAGGCAGCAGUGGGGAAUAUUGCACAAUGGGCGCAAGCCUGAUGCAGCAACGCCGCGUGAGGGAUGACGGCCUUCGGGUUGUAAACCUCUUUUAGCAGGGAAGAAGCGAAAGUGACGGUACCUGCAGAAAAAGCACCGGCUAACUACGUGCCAGCAGCCGCGGUAA
rnacentral:rRNA from 1 species